CCAACCUAAACUUUUAAGAUGAUCCCUAGCAGGAUUAAAGUCCUCCCUGAGCAGGCAGAGGCAAAGCUAUUCAGCAAAACAAGGUCAUGCUGCCUUUUUUUUUUUUUUUUGGUAAGCACAGGAAUCAACAAAGCGCUGUUAUAUAACUUCUAUUUAUAUCCCACUUGCUCACUAGCUGCAGGCACACAAGAGUAGCUGAGAAGGGAAUUUAAUGAGCUCUCAGGGCUUGCUCACCUUCCAGAGCGGGUUGGAGCCAGCUUGUUUUUGAAGUGCGUCAGCAAAUGAAACUGGUGGUGGGUGGGUGGUUUGGGUAGGUGGACUGACUUGUUGCUAUGGUUUUCUUUAAUUCCUCUGUCUCUCAA
rnacentral:sRNA from 1 species